ensembl:lncRNA
AAUCAUGGAGCCUCAUCAGUAAAUGCCUAUGUGUCUGCCUCAGCCCCAGAUAGCGAUAGUUCUAAUCUCUAGAUCAGAACUAUUUCAGCUAUGAUAGUGCAUCAAAGGGGCCAGUGGGGGGCGGGGCACGCUCUUCUGCUGGUUUCUGCAAUAACUGAUAAGCCAACCUGAUGUCAGCUCCCCCUGGAACUGCAAUCUCUCUAUUACCCCGGGAGCAAAGACUGCUACCUUGUCUUACCCGCUGUCUGCCCCACACCGUGGGGUGUCGCUCCAGGACCUCACUUCAGCCAUGCGGAUUCUUUACCACUGAGCCACCAGAGAAGCCCCCAAAGUCAGCUUUGACGGAGGUGAUGAAGUGCUGAUCAGAGUGGGUUCAGCAGACCUUGGAAAGUGAAGAGGAGACAGACUACACAUGCUGCUUCAACAGCUGUGGCACUGAAGAUCAGAGAACAUGGUGUGGUCGAUGACCCUGUUGUCACCUUGGUUAAAUCCGGGACCCCUGUUUCCCAGAAUCCUUGUUAGAUUCCGGGUGAGCGUUGGCCAAAAGAGGAACCUGCCUCAGAUCUGAGAGCUGGAAAUGAAGCAGCAUUCACUAAUACCUGAAGGAUUUCAGGGUGAGAUAUGGAAGCAGAGGCGCCGGGUGGGAUCCGACUUGUCUUCAGACUCUCCUCCGCUCAUGUCUAGCUCUGCUCACAGACCGAUGCCCUGCUGAGUGACGCAGCACUCAACCCCACGACAAGACACUUGGCUGCCGCCCCACACGGGGUUAAGCAUCUUCUCAUAGACCCCUCCAUGCACCCUCUCUUCUAGCCCCCCACACAGCUGGAUGUGUCUGGUUUCUCGAAUUUCCCUGUACAUUCUAAGAUGUUCACAUACAGGGGCUUCAGGCAGCCUGAUGCAUAAUUCUUCUCAUUCUCCAGCUCCCUCUGGACCUUCACUCCCCCAGAUUCUCUUCCACUCCUGCAAGCUCUAGUUCCUGUAACACCCAUAUCAAUCCCAGAAGUCCUGUUUCCUUGGCUGAACCCUACAGGACACAUGGGGUAAGAGCUGGAGAGGGGAUGUGAGGUCAUGGGAGUAUUUGUGUUCAAGAUUCAAGUUUCGCGCCUGUUUGUAUGCUCCAGAGGAUGUUCUAAUAGAGAGGGGAGAUGGAGGAAAGGGCAGAGAAAGCCCAACAGCACGGGCCAUGGAGCCCGGGACCCAGGGCAGGAAGGGAAGGCUUGGAGGCAACAGGGGCUCAGGGGAGGUGAGCUCAAGCACGGUGCUAAGUUGUGGGUGGGUACCCAUGGAAGGAGAUUGGUAGCUAUGAUGGGAACAUGUGAGAGCCUCUUGCAAUUACUUUUAUUGUCCUUGUGAACAGAAGUAAGAGCGGUAGUUGAGACUACCAGGGGGGAAGGUGGGAUAUUUAAAGAGAAAAGAGAAAGUGUGAUAUAAUUGUGACACUCUGUCUUUUUUGGCCACCGUUGUCUCUUCUUGGGGCUGCUCUUGUGGCUCAGCUGGUAAAGAAUCAGCCUGCAAUGCAGGAGACUUGGGUUCCAUCCCUGGGUUGGGAAGAUCCCCUGGAGAAGGGAAAGGCUACCCACUCCAGUAAUCUGGCCUGGAGAAUUCUAUGGUCUGUACAGUCCAUGAGGUCGCAGACAGUCACACACGACUGAGCGAGUUCACUUCACUUCAGUUCUAAGGUUUAGAGAAGUUUCCACUUUCACAGUCUGGCAGGAGGCAGAGCCCACCUCUCAGGAAUGAAGCUGAAACCAACAGACUUUCGCUUCUCUCAGAGAGCAUGAGAUGGUUGGAUGGCAUCAUCAACUCGAUGGACAUGAGUUUGAGCAAGCUCUGGGAGUUGGUGAUGGACAGGGAAGCCUGGCGUGCUGCAGUCCACGGGGUGGCAGACUCUGACACGACUCAGCAACUGAACUGAACUGAACCCCUUGGCUGGAAAAUAGGGUGGGGCCAGUGGGUCACGUGAGUGGGCUCAGC